CUUUCUGUAAGGAUGUUUAGGUUUUAUAUGUACUUUGUCUGAUGUAUAAAACACUUUAUAAACUUUAUCCAUUUAAUUCUGCUACACUGAGCACUCUGCUAUAGGAGCAUUAUCUUCACUUUACAGAUAAGGAGAUUUACAUUCACACAAAGCCAUACUGGAAUUGGGGAGGACCAGGCUCAGGGCUCCAGAUAUGACGAUAACCGCUGUGUGCUUAAGGUGGUAGAUUGUACAGCUCUUUUCCAGCACAACACUGCAGGUCAGGCCAUGGAUUUCCUUCUUUCAAUCUCCUUUUGGUUUCAGAUUGGGUUAAACCUCACUGGAUGUUUACCCUUCAUUUCAGGGAAUAGAACAGGUAGGAUUCUUUAUGAAACAAAAGCAGCUCCAAACUGAAAAGCAGGAAUGUGUCACCCACUACCCACAACUGCAUGCAUAGAUUAGUUCAGAAAUGUGAACUGGACUGGAGGUUUUGCUUUGUAGAGUGAUAUGUUUAUAUGCGAAAGAGGAGGAGAAAAGAGGAGGAAGGUCUGAAGCAUAACAGCUCAUAGAGGGAACUGUGCAAAUGCUUUUCACUAAAUUUUCCCACGACCACAUCUCUGAAGAAAGAGACAAGGAAAGGGAUUCUCGGCUAACUGUUGGUCUGUGUGAAGGACUCCAGUAAAGACCUCAUCUCUGGUGUUUAAGUAGAGCUAAUGUGAGGAGUAAAGAUCAUACAGCAAAAUACAGCAUCCAUUAGCUGCUUGCACAUGCAAGGACAAAAAAUCUUUGAUCCCCAAAGAAUACCUUUUUCAUGGGAGUCAGACACAUCACAUGGAGUCUUAAGAUCUUGAAAAUGUCCAGGAAAAAAGGUGCUCCUUGCAUUUUGCCCUGGCAUGUUUUGAAGUGUGCCUGCCCUGAGGAGGUCUUGCAGCUGUGUUUGGGACUUCAUGCUGUACAGAAUGGGAGGGAAUGUCCAUAAGCUGUCGCAGAAGAGGAGCAUGCUGUAACAGCCUGCUCCCCACACAGGUCUGAUAUACAAAAGCACUUCAUCACUGACCUAAUUUGGGUCCAUUUAAGGUAUGUAGAAAGAAAUCCUAUUGACCUAAUUACAAGUUUAUCACUGCCAGGUGCUUUUAAAUACGUCACUCUAUUCAUAGAAUCACUGAGGUUGGAAAAGAUCCCUAACAUCAUCUAGUCUAACCGUCCAUCUACCACCAAUUUUGCCCACUGAAUUAUGUCCCUAAGUACCACAUCUAACAUUUCCUUAAACAUGUCCAGGGAUAGUGACUCCACUACUUCCCUGGACAGCCUGUUCCAAUGCCUGACUUCUCUUUCUGAGAAAAAACUCUUCCUAAUGUCCAACCUGAACCUCCUGUUGUGCGACUUGAGGCCAUUGCUUCUUGUCCUAUCUCUGUCACCUGGUAGAAGAGACUGACCCCCACCUUGCCACAACCACCUUUCAGGUAGCUAUAGAAGGUAAUAAGAUCUCCCCUGAGCCUUCUCUUCUCCGGACUAAACAAUCCCAGUUCCCUCAGCCACUUUCCAUAAGACGUAUGAUCCAGUCCUCUCACCAGCUUUGUUGCCUUUCUCUGAACAUGCUCCAGGGCCUCAAUGUCUUUCUUGUCGUGAGGGUCCCAAAACUGAACACAGUACUCAAGGUGCAGCCUCACCAGAGCUGAGAGCAGGGGGAUGAUCACCUCUGAUCACCUCUGAUACAAACCUUUUUGGCUACCUGAGUACACUGUGGACCAGCACUGCCAGAUUCUUUUCCUCUGUUCAGCUUUCCAGUCACUCUGCCCCAAGCCUGUAGCUUUGCAUGGGGUUUUUGUGACCAAAGUGCAGGACUCAGCACUUGGUCUUGUUGAACUUUAUUCCAUUGGCCUCAGCCCAUCAAUCCAGCCUGUCCAGGUCCCUCUGUAGGGCCUUCCUACCCUCAGGCACUUCCUCCCAACUUUGUGUCGUUUGCCAGCUUACUUAAGAGUGCACUCAAUUCCCUCACCCAAUUCAUCCUAAUCAAUAAAGAUAUUAAACAGGAUGGACCCCAAUACCAAACCCUGAGGAACAUAGCUUCUAUCUUGAUAAUAUGCCCAUACAUUCAGGUAUUAACCUUAGGCAUAUAUACUCAGAUCCUUCUGGCGUCAGGAGCCAAAAGCUGUUGCUGAUGACACAGCACAGCCCCUGGAACCAAGCCUGGCUAUUUUGGUGCUACUGCAGUGCAGGUCUGUUCCAGGUGACAUUGUUGUGCUGGUCCUGGUGGGAUCUGUGGUUGGGAUGUGCUGUGUGACUCAGCCCAGCAGACAGCAGCUGCUCUGACACCUUGGCUACAGCACACUGUGGUGUCUAAAGAGCUGCUCUUGAUCAAUAACUUUCCUCCCCAUCUCUGUGAGCAGCAGGGUGGGAGAGGGAAUAAUCUGCCUCAGAAAGUGUCUCACUGCUCUGCUUAGCUGAGGGGUUUAAUUUCCAUUGUUUGUCUCCUGUGUCUCUUUCUGUUCUUGAUAGAUUUCCCCAGCCUCACUGAUGCUAAUCUCAUUGUCCAGGAAUCAGCAAAGGGUAAUUAGCCUCUGUGAUAAUGAUCUAUCUGUCACAAGAUCAUGCCCUCUCAUUGCACACCAUCUCGGAUGUUGUCUAACCUAGCACAGGAGUACGGAGCACAGCCAUGCACAGAGCUUAACCAAAAAGAAGCAGAAGCCCUUGCUGGGGAAGCAUGGAUGUUGCUCCACCAAUUCUGAAACAGAAAAAAACCAAAUCAUUUGUGAAGAGGUAAAAACAAUGUUAAUUUAGUAAAAAUAUUUUUAAAUGUUUUUCUUUGUGAGGCAGCUAAAACCACAGCCAGUCGCGUGUCUUGGAAAUUGCUACUAAUCAAAUUGUGUCCAUUUUCCCCAGCAAAAUGCUUUCUGCCCUGCUGUUUGUCAUGUCUUGUUACUUCUGAUUAUACUGUUUGAGACUUAUGCCUUGACUUAUAUAGAACAGCACUGUUAUCUCAGCAAAGCUGGUACUUGUUUCUUUAUGGCCACUUUUUGGCAUCCAGUGGUGCAAGUUCGUCCUUUUGUUUGUACAGUGCUCAGUUCAACUGAUGUGGUAUUUAAAUGUGAGUUGUAAAUGAGUCAGGCACCCUGUUUCAUACAGAGCCUUGCCCUGUCCUCCCUGCAAUGACAAGGUUGCUUGUAAAUGGGAACUUGCUCAUACUGGUGUCUGAGACAGCAGUGAGCAGUGUGACCAUCAGGAGAACAGCACUAAGCCAGUCAUUUCAAUUAUCUACAGUGGGUUUCUAUUUGAAUUUCACACACGUUUAAAUUGUUAUGCUAUCAGCAGGGUGUGCUCCUGUGCUCCCUAAUUCUUUUUUUUUUUUUUUUUUUUUGCAAUGAUUGUAUUUCACAUAUGAUGAAGAACUUCAAGGAAGAACUUUACUGCGAGGGUGAGUACUGGAGCAGGCUGACCAGAGAGGUUGUGUAGUCUCCUGCUCUGGAGAUAUUCAAGACCCGCCUGGACACUUUCCUGUGUAACCUGCUUUAGCAGGGCAUUGGACUAGAUGUCUCCAGAGUCCCUUCCAGCUCCUAUGUUUCUGUGAUUCUGUGAUAUUUGUGCGCUUCUACAUGUGUAGGAUGAAUGAGAGCUCUGGGUCAGGGCUGUAGUUCACCAGGAGAUGAGACAAGGCUGAGAUGAGAACAAAUAACAAUAAUAAGAGCAAUGCUAGUAAUGAGUUAACAUAGUAAAGUGGAAGACUGUGAACUUGUUUCCUUGUGCUUAUGCUACAGUCUUUGAAACCACUGAAGACAUAUGAAAUGCAAAGAAAUAUGAAAGAAAUCUGUCAUUUUUGGUUCAUCCCAGAAAUUAUAAUUUCAAGAGAUAGUAGAAUUAUUUUAUGUUGUGGACAGUUUAAAAUAUAAUGGAAAUGGGAUUUCUUUAAGUUGCCAGGGGUGCACUAGCAGCUGCUAGUGUGAUGUGUGAUGCCUGAUAAUGUACAUGGAGGAUCAGGGGGAAAAAUCCCAACCUUCAGCCUCGGGAGAUCCUGAGGUAGCUGCCAGUGCUGCAUGUGUGCUGCCCCUGGCAGCUCAGGACAGAACCCCUGCCUUGCUUCAUAAGGAUCCUCCUUGCUUCCUUGGGAUGCCUUGGGGAGCAGCCUGGCUCCUUGGCAUGGCAGCUGGAGCACCCUCUUCUUGUUCUGUACCUGUAAAAUAAUUCAGGGCACCGCCUGCAGAGAAGCACUGUGCUGGGAAGGCAAUGAGGAGACUCUCCAUGGCCCUUUGCUUGAGGGCAGGAUUUGCCUCUGCAUUUCUCUCUGCUAUCAUCUAGCUAUAAAACACAGGAAAUAAUCUUUUCCUAUGUCAUAGGGAUAUAGGCAGCUCAAUUAAAGUUUAUGAAGCAUGAUCUGAAAUUCUUGGAACCAGAGCAUUGUGGAUAUGCAAAGCAGGACUUUAAGUUAUUCAUUACUGUUUAUUAUACUUUGCAUCUAUUUUUUUUUUCCUAGAACAGAGGCCUGAUCAAGAAAUAUAUCUGACUUCCUGAGAAUUAGCAUGAUUUUGAGGAGAAAUGUGUUCUCUGCCCCAUCCCACUGUGAAGAUGAGGAGUGAGGGAAUGACUGUGUAGUUCUGAGCCAUCUGAGGAGUUAAACUGCAAAGCAAUGACAGCUUAGGGACAACAGAAGCCCUCAGAGAGCUUGGCCAUGUUUUCACAUCACUCUUCAUUGCAUCAGCUACCUGUUCUCCCUGCAGAAAACCUCCAGAAGUCAUCUGUGACAUCUUCUGCAGCUUUUUGAUCUCCUGAGAUGUGAGAGGGAUCCUGGCUGAAGGGCUUGCAGCUUUGAGAUGAGGCAGGCACAUAUGAGACAAGGCAGCCACCUCUGUUGAUCCCUCAUCCUCAUGCAUGGUAGUAAGGAAGAAAGCUAUGAAUUACAAAUUUUGAAUUUUGCUCUGGGUGUGGACUCACUGGUGGUCAUGAGUGAGGACCUCAGGUGCUUCUAGGCUGGAAGGGAAGAAUGGGACCAGAUGUACACCAGGCAGUCAAAGCGGUCGAAGCUCUGUACACCCACAGCUUGCUGGUGAGCACUGGGUUUUGAAAAUGGAGGAAGGUAAAGAGAGAACUAAUGCAGGUAGGCUGUGGCUGUUGUACGUGUGGCCAUGUGUUCCUGGUUCCUCCCUGUAUUCUCUCUAGUGAAUCUUGCUUCCUGGUUCAGUGUUUUCGUAAUAAUGGCAUAUUAAUAACUACGUAACCCACUGUCUUCUCUAUCCUUGACUCAGUUCCCAGAAGCCCCACUCCUUCCCAUCCCUUCAUGCCCCUCCCUGCCACCAUGAGAGAUGAACAGAAGCAGGCUCUCCUUCUGUAUCUCUGGCUCAGGUGACCUUUCCACAGCUGCCACUUUGAACCUGCCUCAUGGAGGGGGCUUGUGCCCCUUGUGCUCUGCUGCUCUAGGGGAGCGAGACUUGGCUCCAGCAGGCUCACAAGUACACCCCUGUAGAGAGGAGCAGGGAUAAAUGGAGGAUUAACCGCAGCUAUGGGUCUGCCGUCAAAAUGUCUAGAAAGCCUAUUUUUUAAACAACCUGAUUGCAUGUAGGAGUAAUUUCAGUGGCCUGUACUUCUUAGCUCUUUUUUUGUAUUUUGUGGUAUGUGUCAGUGAACAGAACUUAAUAAUACUUCACCCAUAUGAACCUCUGUGAUUGCAUGCAGUUUCAGCAGAAAAACAAAAUUAAUUCUCUCACUUCACAGUAGUUUUUUGGAUAAUAAGCUGACCUUUUGCAUUUAUUUUGUACAUAGAAAACACUACUAAUUCAUUAAGAUAGGGAUCUGCAGAUUAACAUUUUAAGUGUUACUGAAAACAACAAAUUAUGUUAUUUAUAGAGAUUUGAAAUUAUACCUAUUUGAGGCUGCGAGUGCACAAAAUUUAAAACAUAAGAAUAAAAAUAUCUGCCACAGAAGAUUCAAAUCUUACAGGUUUCUACAAUUUACAUAAUGUGAAAAGCAACAACAGCAAUGCUCAUGAAGAAUGCAGAUGAUGUAUAACAGAGUUGGUUCUUACUCUGAUUGCAAACCAACCAUUAAGUCACUACCAGUCUAUUGCUUUCGUUUAAAAAACCAUUAUGUAGAUGAAAUAUACUUGCUUUCAGGUAAUUCUUUUAAUGAUUAAUUUUGCUGGUAUAUCACCAUGAGAUGUCACAGUAUGAUGAUAAUUAGUAAAUAUAAUAAAACAGUAGCUAAAUGUAACAAAUGAUAUUAUAAGUAGAUCAACACUGGUUUUCUAUGAGAGACGCUGUUGAGGUUUGUCCAAAGAUUCAAUAUCGUUUUUAAUUUUUACUAUUAAAUAAUUGGUGCAGCUUGAAAGAGAGAAAUUUCUAGAGAUGGGAGUUACAUUCAUUGUCAUAAUCAACUCCAAGUACUCGUCAUUGACUGCUCUGGGAUAUUUUGGCUCACAGGGCAGCAUUAAGGCCAAUGUUUGCACCUUUAUCUCAGUUGCUGGAAUUCUCUGGUACGCACUUUCUAUUAGGAAAGGUCUAGAUACACUGAAACAUAGCACAUUUGUAAAGCAGAUGAAGAAACUAGUCAGGAGGUUUGCUGACAGCAAAUUUUGUUUAGCUAGUUUUACUAUAAGCAAUUUACUCUACAUGUGCAUUUCUGCAUUCAAAUUGUUCUUUAUUAAGAUCCUUCCCUAAUAAUAUAAAAAUGUGUUUAUAAAGCCUGUAAGUGGUUUCUGUAAUAAGAUUUUUAAUGAGUUGGAAUAUUAAAUUAAGUUUUGUAGAAAUGCUUGAGGUGUUGUUAUAACUAACUUACAAACUGUACACCAUUAACUUUAUCAUAUAGAGUAAUUUUGGUUUCUAUUCAAGCAAUAUACAGCUCCGAAAUACUAACUGUCAGAUACUUUACACUGCAAAUGGAAUUUUGCUGACUAUUUAGCAAUAAUGUCUGUGGUUAUGAUAUCUGAGCCCCACAGGGAGAGCAAUUCAGCUGGUUGGUCAACCUGGGGGUGGGCUGCAUUGUCAGGUUGUGCGCUCCGUGCUGGGUGGCAUAAAGCAGAGCAGCCCAGAAGCACCACAGGCUGCUUAGCUGGCACUUGACAGAGACUGUCUGGCUCUCUGGGGUUUACAUUCUCUCCCCUUUGCUUACAUCUGGGUUUCCUUAAAAGUAAGAAAAUGUGCAGAGAUCCCCAAACAUUUACUGUCUCAAUGGCCAGUGCACAGCAGACGAAGCAUAGCUAACCUUAAGCUGCUCAUGUUUAAAUAAAAGUGAUUAAUGAGAUUGCAGAACAAGCAGCAAACUCAGAGUUUUUCAGUUGUGUUUUUGCACUCUAUAGUUAAUAUAAAAUCAUCUAACAUAAGAUGUAUAACUUAGACUAUGGUUCUUCCUUACCCCCACCUUUUUUAAAACUUCUACUGAUAGUACAGGGAACUCAUGCUCCUAACUUUUGAAAGGCAGGUCUUCCAGAACAACUGAUUUUUGCUUGUAAGCUGCUGCCCUCUUUGCUCCUGGCAAAAAUGCUGUGUGUUGAUGCAGAUGAUGGUGUAACUAGGACCCGUAUAAGUCUUAUCAUCCAAGCAAAUAUGCCUUUGCCAUAAUGGGCAAUAUUUUUCAUGACCUGAUAGAUGAGGGAUAGAUGAGUUGUGCAGCUCUCCACUGUUUGGACAAGAGGCCAUCAGCAGCUGAGGAGUGAAACAGUGCAUCACACCUCAUGUGGAUGGCAGGAGUUCUCUAAAACGGAUGAUGUGGCUACUUUUCUUAGAGGUCUUUAACUUUAUUUGUAAAUCUACGGAUGCUUUUUGUUUCUUAUUCACAUUUUACUUCACCUUAUAUACUCUUCAUCUACUUUCUCACUUCUUAUCCUUUUGACUUAUUCAAGGUUUGUCAUAUCUCAGAGUGGCAGGUCAGUGAAAAAGCUCCCACUGAGUUGGAAGUAAAUGUGUUUUGUCAUUAUUUUGAUUUUGACUUUGAGAAGUUUGAACUGGUAUAAGACAAGCUCUGCUCUUCCAAACCCUGGUGCUGUGACAGUGGACCAGUGACAACAGCUUAUCCUGUCUCAACUCCUUCAUCUUCAAAAUGAUGGUGAGGAUAUGUACCUCUGUCAAGUGCUAGGAGAAGAAAAAGCAGCAUUAUAAAUAAAACCAAAGCAUUACUGUGAUCUAUUGUGUAGAUUUAGCAUCCAGCAUUAGUUGAAGUUUCUCACCCCAGGGAAGCAUGGAGCUGCUGGCCACGUAAGCUGGAAAGUGAAAAGCUAUCUGUCACUCUGGCAAGUUGUGCAUCCCAAGUGGAGACAGCAGCACAUAGAAAAAACACAACAUGCCAUAGGGAUGGCAAUGACUUUCUUGUUUCAAGCAGAAUCUGGUUAAGGUAUACUGUUAUUACUGCUUAGUUUAAAUUAAAAUACAUUAAAUGCUGCCAGUAAACUGAGAGCUGGCAGCAUUGAGAAACACGAAGCUGCUGCUGAAUAUUCUGCAAGGCUAACUGCAGUUAUUGAGGGACUUACCAUUGCAGCAAAUGGGCUGCAACAUCAGAUUUUAAGAUACUGGGGUAGUGCUGUUAAGCUGUGGUGCAUCUCAGAUGUGCUGCCUCUCCUCAUGAGAUUGACGUGGAUUCUGCUGUGCUCACCACACUCCAGUGCAGAGCACUGCAGGGCAUUCAGCCUGUUGAGAAAGGUCAAAACAAGACUACAUCAGCCUCUGAACCUAAAAACUCUGAACUCUUUGCUACCUAUUAGGAUGAAUGAAGAAAAGCUGUGUUUUGAUGUGUGACAUCCCAAAGAAUUGCUUGAGGCAGACGAGAAAGUUAGUGCUACUUAAAGGAAGGAGUGCUGUCUGUAAGCAGGAUCUCUCAAAGCACAGAGCACAGCCUGGCUCCAACAAGCUGCCUUCUAAACAGAAGCCGUCCACACUGAAUUGGCUGUAGAUUUGGUAAUGAGGUGCUCAUCUCAACAGUCAUUAAAAUGUUUCCACCUUUUUACUUGGUUAAAGAAAAGUCCUUUGUUCAUUGUAAGGUAUUACGGAAAUAAACGGUGUUUAAAGAAAUGGAGCAUGGCCUGGUGUAUGCUACCAGUAAAUGUUACUUUGUACAAUUCAUAACCUGUAACGUGCAUUGUUGCAGCCUGUGGAGGAAUAUGAGAACUGCUUUUGGCAGAACACUGAAAUAAACCAGUGCAUCUGGGAGGAAGCUGCCCCUGCCACAAGCCUGCACUUUGCCCAGCUGUACAGCCUCAG
ensembl:lncRNA